rnacentral:sRNA from 1 species
UUCUCACUGCGUUAGGGAUAGUAGUGAAAAUCCCGGAGCAGCCUAAGGCUGUGAUCGGCAUUGUAGCGUAUAGCCCGGCCAGGA